rnacentral:rRNA from 1 species
AGAGUUUGAUCCUGGCUCAGGAUAAACGCUGGCGGCGUGCCUAACACAUGCAAGUCGAACGGGCUUAACAUGAAACCUAGUGAUUGUUAAGUUAGUGGCGGACGGGUGAGUAACGCGUGGAUAACCUGCCGUAUGCAGGGGGAUAACAGUUGGAAACAGCUGCUAAUACCGCAUAAGCGCACAGUACCGCAUGGUACGGUGUGAAAAGAUUUAUCGGCAUACGAUGGAUCCGCGUCCGAUUAGCCAGUUGGCGGGGUAACGGCCCACCAAAGCGACGAUCGGUAGCCGGCCUGAGAGGGCGGACGGCCACAUUGGGACUGAGACACGGCCCAAACUCCUACGGGAGGCAGCAGUGGGGAAUAUUGCACAAUGGGGGAAACCCUGAUACAGCGACGCCGCGUGAGUGAAGAAGUAUCUCGGUAUGUAAAGCUCUAUCAGCAGGGAAGAAAAUGACGGUACCUGACUAAGAAGCCCCGGCUAACUACGUG